UGGGGAAUUUUGGACAAUGGGGGCAACCCUGAUCCAGCAAUGCCGCGUGUGUGAAGAAGGCCUUCGGGUUGUAAAGCACUUUUGUCCGGGAAGAAAUCGCACCUGAUAAUACCGGGUGUGGAUGACGGUACCGGAAGAAUAAGGACCGGCUAACUACGUGCCAGCAGCCGCGGUAAUACGUAGGGUCCAAGCGUUAAUCGGAAUUACUGGGCGUAAAGCGUGCGCAGGCGGUUGUGCAAGACCGAUGUGAAAUCCCCGGGCUUAACCUGGGAAUUGCAUUGGUGACUGCACGGCUAGAGUGUGUCAGAGGGGGGUAGAAUUCCACGUGUAGCAGUGAAAUGCGUAGAGAUGUGGAGGGAUACCGAUGGCGAAGGCAGCCCCCUGGGAUAACACUGACGCUCAUGCACGAAAGCGUGGGGAGCAAACAGG
rnacentral:rRNA from 1 species